UACCAGCACCCCGAGUGGUCGGGACGUUUAUUGGGCCUAAAGCAUCCGUAGCCGGUUCUGCAAGCCCCCCGUUAAAUCCAGCUGCUCAACAGAUGGGCCGCGGAGGAUACUACAGAGCUAGGAGGCAGGAGAGGCAAGCGGUACUCAGUGGGUAGGGGUAAAAUCCGUUGAUCCAUUGAAGACCACCAGUGGCGAAGGCGGCUUGCCAGAAUGCGCUCGACGGUGAGGGAUGAAAGCUGGGGGAGCAAACCGG
rnacentral:rRNA from 1 species